UACGUAGGGUGCAAGCGUUGUCCGGAAUUAUUGGGCGUAAAGAGCUCGUAGGCGGUUUGUCGCGUCGGUUGUGAAAGCCCGGGGCUUAACCCUGGGUCUGCAGUCGAUACGGGCAGGCUAGAGUUCGGUAGGGGAGACUGGAAUUCCUGGUGUAGCGGUGAAAUGCGCAGAUAUCAGGAGGAACACCGGUGGCGAAGGCGGGUCUCUGGGCAACUACUGACGCUGAGGAGCGAAAGCGUGGGGAGCGAACAGG
rnacentral:rRNA from 1 species